AUUGAACGCUGGCGGCAGGCCUAACACAUGCAAGUCGAGCGGAUGAAGGGAGCUUGCUCCUGGAUUCAGCGGCGGACGGGUGAGUAAUGCCUAGGAAUCUGCCUGGUAGUGGGGGAUAACGUCCGGAAACGGGCGCUAAUACCGCAUACGUCCUGAGGGAGAAAGUGGGGGAUCUUCGGACCUCACGCUAUCAGAUGAGCCUAGGUCGGAUUAGCUAGUUGGUGGGGUAAAGGCCUACCAAGGCGACGAUCCGUAACUGGUCUGAGAGGAUGAUCAGUCACACGGGAACUGAGACACGGUCCAGACUCCUACGGGAGGCAGCAGUGGGGAAUAUUGGACAAUGGGCGAAAGCCUGAUCCAGCCAUGCCGCGUGUGUUAAGAAGGUCUUCGGAUUGUAAAGCACUUUAAGUGGGGAGGAAGGGCAGUAAGUUAAUACCUUGCUGUUUUGACGGUACCAACAGAAUAAGCACCGGCUAACUUCGUG
rnacentral:rRNA from 1 species